rnacentral:rRNA from 1 species
CACCGCGGUUAUACGAGAGGUCCAAGUAGAUAGUUUACGGCGUAAAGAGUGGUUAGAAAAAGUCCCCUACUAAAGCCGAACGCCCUCAAAGCUGUUAUACGCACCCGAGGGUAGGAAGCCCACCAACGAAAGUGGCUUUACAACUUUGAACCCACGAAAGCUAUGACA